rnacentral:rRNA from 1 species
AGUGUGUUUCGACACACUAUCAUUAACUGAAUCCAUAGGUUAAUGAGGCGAACCGGGGGAACUGAAACAUCUAAGUACCCCGAGGAAAAGAAAUCAACCGAGAUUCCCCCAGUAGCGGCGAGCGAACGGGGAGCAGCCCAGAGCCUGAAUCAGUGUGUGUGUUAGUGGAAGCGUCUGGAAAGGCGCGCGAUACAGGGUGACAGCCCCGUACACAAAAAUGCACAUGCUGUGAGCUCGAUGAGUAGGGCGGGACACGUGGUAUCCUGUCUGAAUAUGGGGGGACCAUCCUCCAAGGCUAAAUACUCCUGACUGACCGAUAGUGAACCAGUACCGUGAGGGAAAGGCGAAAAGAACCCCGGCGAGGGGAGUGAAAAAGAACCUGAAACCGUGUACGUACAAGCAGUGGGAGCACAGAGCAAUCUGUGUGACUGCGUACCUUUUGUAUAAUGGGUCAGCGACUUAUAUUCUGUAGCAAGGUUAACCGAAUAGGGGAGCCGAAGGGAAACCGAGUCUUAACUGGGCGUUAAGUUGCAGGGUAUAGACCCGAAACCCGGUGAUCUAGCCAUGGGCAGGUUGAAGGUUGGGUAACACUAACUGGAGGACCGAACCGACUAAUGUUGAAAAAUUAGCGGAUGACUUGUGGCUGGGGGUGAAAGGCCAAUCAAACCGGGAGAUAGCUGGUUCUCCCCGAAAGCUAUUUAGGUAGCGCCUCGUGAAUUCAUCUCCGGGGGUAGAGCACUGUUUCGGCAAGGGGGUCAUCCCGACUUACCAACCCGAUGCAAACUGCGAAUACCGGAGAAUGUUAUCACGGGAGACACACGGCGGGUGCUAACGUCCGUCGUGAAGAGGGAAACAACCCAGACCGCCAGCUAAGGUCCCAAAGUCAUGGUUAAGUGGGAAACGAUGUGGGAAGGCCCAGACAGCCAGGAUGUUGGCUUAGAAGCAGCCAUCAUUUAAAGAAAGCGUAAUAGCUCACUGGUCGAGUCGGCCUGCGCGGAAGAUGUAACGGGGCUAAACCAUGCACCGAAGCUGCGGCAGCGACGCUUAUGCGUUGUUGGGUAGGGGAGCGUUCUGUAAGCCUGUGAAGGUGUGCUGUGAGGCAUGCUGGAGGUAUCAGAAGUGCGAAUGCUGACAUAAGUAACGAUAAAGCGGGUGAAAAGCCCGCUCGCCGGAAGACCAAGGGUUCCUGUCCAACGUUAAUCGGGGCAGGGUGAGUCGACCCCUAAGGCGAGGCCGAAAGGCGUAGUCGAUGGGAAACAGGUUAAUAUUCCUGUACUUGGUGUUACUGCGAAGGGGGGACGGAGAAGGCUAUGUUGGCCGGGCGACGGUUGUCCCGGUUUAAGCGUGUAGGCUGGUUUUCCAGGCAAAUCCGGAAAAUCAAGGCUGAGGCGUGAUGACGAGGCACUACGGUGCUGAAGCAACAAAUGCCCUGCUUCCAGGAAAAGCCUCUAAGCAUCAGGUAACAUCAAAUCGUACCCCAAACCGACACAGGUGGUCAGGUAGAGAAUACCAAGGCGCUUGAGAGAACUCGGGUGAAGGAACUAGGCAAAAUGGUGCCGUAACUUCGGGAGAAGGCACGCUGAUAUGUAGGUGAAGUCCCUCGCGGAUGGAGCUGAAAUCAGUCGAAGAUACCAGCUGGCUGCAACUGUUUAUUAAAAACACAGCACUGUGCAAACACGAAAGUGGACGUAUACGGUGUGACGCCUGCCCGGUGCCGGAAGGUUAAUUGAUGGGGUUAGCGGUAACGCGAAGCUCUUGAUCGAAGCCCCGGUAAACGGCGGCCGUAACUAUAACGGUCCUAAGGUAGCGAAAUUCCUUGUCGGGUAAGUUCCGACCUGCACGAAUGGCGUAAUGAUGGCCAGGCUGUCUCCACCCGAGACUCAGUGAAAUUGAACUCGCUGUGAAGAUGCAGUGUACCCGCGGCAAGACGGAAAGACCCCGUGAACCUUUACUAUAGCUUGACACUGAACAUUGAGCCUUGAUGUGUAGGAUAGGUGGGAGGCUUUGAAGUGUGGACGCCAGUCUGCAUGGAGCCGGCCUUGAAAUACCACCCUUUAAUGUUUGAUGUUCUAACGUUGGCCCCUGAUCGGGGUUGCGGACAGUGUCUGGUGGGUAGUUUGACUGGGGCGGUCUCCUCCUAAAGAGUAACGGAGGAGCACGAAGGUUGGCUAAUCCUGGUCGGACAUCAGGAGGUUAGUGCAAUGGCAUAAGCCAGCUUGACUGCGAGCGUGACGGCGCGAGCAGGUGCGAAAGCAGGUCAUAGUGAUCCGGUGGUUCUGAAUGGAAGGGCCAUCGCUCAACGGAUAAAAGGUACUCCGGGGAUAACAGGCUGAUACCGCCCAAGAGUUCAUAUCGACGGCGGUGUUUGGCACCUCGAUGUCGGCUCAUCACAUCCUGGGGCUGAAGUAGGUCCCAAGGGUAUGGCUGUUCGCCAUUUAAAGUGGUACGCGAGCUGGGUUUAGAACGUCGUGAGACAGUUCGGUCCCUAUCUGCCGUGGGCGCUGGAGAACUGAGGGGGGCUGCUCCUAGUACGAGAGGACCGGAGUGGACGCAUCACUGGUGUUCGGGUUGUCAUGCCAAUGGCACUGCCCGGUAGCUAAAUGCGGAAGAGAUAAGUGCUGAAAGCAUCUAAGCACGAAACUUGCCCCGAGAUGAGUUCUCCCUGACUCCUUGAGAGUCCUGAAGGAACGUUGAAGACGACGACGUUGAUAGGCCGGGUGUGUAAGCGCAGCGAUGCGUUGAGCUAACCGGUACUAAUGAACCGUGAGGCUUAACCUU